rnacentral:lncRNA from 1 species
CUACCUCGACUCUAAUCUCACUACUCCUAUACUAAGAAACUACUAAUUAAUAGAGGCCAAGCAGAGAAGCCACUAACUACUAUGAGUUUCCGUUUCAAGAUCAGUCGUAUAUAGAAUAGAAUGACGGGGACCUAAUUGAAUCUUUGGAAGCAGCGUACUUAAUAAUAGGGCAGAAGGAGAGUUCCAGAAGAUAGAUCCGGAUAAGAAGCCAAAGAGUCAUUUCAUCCUUCAGCGUUAAGUUCAGUAUUGCCAGUUUGUUUUGGUGCUUCUGAAAGGAUAGUCAGCCUUGUUCAUUUGAUCGGGAAAGAAAUACCAAUGAGUAGGGUUUCUCGGGCUAAAGUAAGCUACCAGUGCUACUACUACUAGGGCAGCUAGUCAACUCAAUGGAAUUCUGAUCUUCAAGUCCUUUGUUCGCCAGUCCCUUAUUCUUUGUAUUAUAAUAGUUCAAUUGCUUGGCCCCUUAGCACUCCGACCCUAAAUAAGAAAUAGCAUUAGCAGUUACUCAGCCUCUGGCCUUUAGUGUCACGUCUGCCUAUGUCCUCAUUUAUAGCAUACGGGUUCGGCUACCAAUAAAUAUGCAAUUCAGACACCAAAGAGACUCGUAGUCAACUGCGUCGGUCAAGUUGAGUUUCAAGCGUAGGUAUAAGGAAGCAAGUUUCAUAAGAGAAAUCCUGGGGUAUUAUAUAUAAGAUCUUGUCAUUACGGAAUCCGAGGAUAAAGUCAGCGCAAUUAAUGGAGUUGCGGGAAGUGUAGUUUAGGUCGGUUUACAGUAUUGGCAACGAGAAUCCUAUGUCAAUGUCAAUUUCUUCUAAAUAAGAAUAUCAUGAUCAACUACUGCCUAUUUUCAUGUUGCUUGUUGGAUGAGAGGCUGAAGUCAGUGGGAAAUCCUGAAUAAUCAAUCCAACAGUGGAUGUAGGGCCGGUGUGCAGUCAAUGGAGUAAUGGCGGACCGGACCAAGCAGAGCAGGGAAUUCAUUAUUGUGUUUUACCCUCCGUUCAACUCAUCUUAUGGCUAAUGUACUAAUCGAUGAAGAAAAGGCAGAUUUCUAGUCAAAUGGGUUCUACUCAUCACACGGUAUAGAAAAACAGGUCAUAUUCUACAGUUAUAUACUCCAAGGUAAUAUUCUACAGUUAUAUACUCCAAACUCUAUUCUUUCUAUGGUUCUUUUCUACUUUGCCUCCCUUCUUCUUGCUUGCCCUUUUUUUCCUUUUAUACUUUUCCAAGCAAUCUUCUGCGCGCUAAAUUUCUACUCCAAAGUUUGGAAUAUCAUUUAUAUAUUGUGAACACUCGAACAGAACAGGAACUGGCCGACAAGGAAAGGAGUCUUUAAUAAGUGGGGGUCUCUCGAUACUUAUAUUCUAUCUGAUAGUCACCUUCCAACUGAUUCAUAAGGUUUUAAGUGCUUUCAGCCUUACCAGCAUCGGGGCUUUUUCAAAGAAUGUGAUUUCUGGGUGCGCUAACGCAUACUUUCGGGCUUAUUGUCGUUGCUUCUUGUUGUUCACAUGUUUGUUCCGUUGAAUAGCUUUGACAGAUUCUUUCAACAGUCAGAACGGAGAUGAUAUUCUAUACAUAUGUCACUGAUAUUUGAUUGGAAUUCUGUAUUUAUUUGCUGAUUACGAAGAAGUAAGCGCGAGCCCAAACUCGAAGUCAAGUGUUUUAGGGCAAGGCGCAGAAAGAUGGCUAUAGACACGACCGACCCCAUAGGAACUAUUUCUGCCAGGCCAUUAGCUACGUUGAACAUAGGUUGUUUUACGACUAGAAUCUAAUGGCUAACAACUACAACUCUGAUAGAGAUGCUUCUCAAAGCGAGCUGUCGGCAAAAGAAUGGAAUGGAACUCAAAAAGGAGACCCUACUCUGGCCGAGUAAAGUUAUUAUUAACAUGCGAGUAUUUAUAACCCUAACCUCUCGUGAGAAGAUAGUGGCUGAUUUCUCGAGAAAAAGAAUUCGGAGUUCAGCGCGAAACGACUUCGGGGAGUUCCUGUCUUGUCUUCAGCUUCAAGUAUAACUCGCUAAUGCACAACUCUGAGCUCAACUCACUUUGGCCAACACAAAAGAUGAGACUUGACCAUCGCCCUGAAAUACUAAUGCGCUUAACUAGAGAAAGAAUCAUGGAAUUUGUGUGAAUAGAUCCAGAAUUACCAAGAGCUAUAUACUAUAGACUGACGUGAAGUGUAAGUAAGGUUUAGGGGCAGACUAUUUGCGCCGGUAAAGUAUGUUAUGUAUAUGGGUUUUACGUCGGUAGAUAGAGGUUCGAGGUAUGGUCCAAAGAGUAGAGUUCCAUAAGAUGCAAUCGAUUCUUCAAGUUUAGAGUAAGGAGUUCGAAAUGAAGCGAAGGGAGUAAGUGAGCCCUGUUCCUAAUCCUAUGUUGUAAGAAGCC